CUGUAUUGAUUUCUAUUCAUGUCAUGAAAUAAUUUGGAAUCAGCACUUCCCAAAAAAAUUAACUAUUUUAGUUAUUUUGGUGAUAUUUCUAAAAUUUUUUUGUUGUAUAAAGUGUUAAAUUUCGUCGUGUAUUUGAUAUUUAACAAAUUUGAAUCAUGACGAAAGAUAGAUUAGCUGCUCUCGUCGCGGCUCAAAGCGAUGAAGAUGAGGCUGGACCUGAUGAUGUUGCUGUUAAUGUGGAAAAUCGGGAUGGUUUUAUGGAUGAUUUCUUCAACGAAGUAGAAGAAAUAAGGGAGAUGAUUGACAAAAUUCAAGCAAAUGUUGAAGAAGUAAAGAAGAAGCAUAGUGCAAUACUAUCGGCUCCUCAAUCUGACGAAAAAACUAAACAAGAGUUGGAAGAUUUAAUGGCUGAUAUCAAGAAAACCGCGAACAGAGUUCGAGGAAAACUAAAGGGAAUAGAGCAAAAAAUUGAACAGGAAGAGCAAGCAAAUAAAUCAAGUGCUGAUUUGAGAAUACGUAAAACACAACACUCAACAUUAUCUAGAAAGUUCGUUGAGGUAAUGACCGAAUAUAAUAGAACGCAAACAGACUACAGAGAAAGGUGUAAAGGAAGAAUACAGCGACAGUUAGAAAUAACUGGAAGAACAACAACAAAUGAGGAGCUUGAGGACAUGCUUGAACAAGGCAAUCCAGCAGUAUUUACUCAGGGUAUAAUUAUGGAGACGCAACAAGCUAAGCAAACAUUAGCUGACAUAGAAGCUCGACAUGCCGACAUUAUAAAAUUAGAAACAUCAAUCAGAGAAUUGCAUGAUAUGUUUAUGGAUAUGGCAAUGUUAGUAGAAAGUCAGGGUGAAAUGAUCGAUCGUAUAGAAUAUCAUGUGGAACAUGCAAUGGAUUAUGUACAAACAGCGACUCAAGAUACAAAGAAAGCUCUUAAGUAUCAGAGUAAAGCCAGAAGGAAGAAAAUUAUGAUCCUCAUAUGCUUAACCGUGUUAGGUUUGAUGGUGGCUGGUUACGUCAGCAGUUAUUUCAUGUAAAUAUUUAAAAAAAAAUUAAAAACCAAAAAAAAAAAGAGAGAAAUUACAACAAAAUGAAAGUGUCAUCAUAUAAUGUAGCGUUUAAGAUCAAAUUCUACAAAAAAUUUUUAAUGAAUAUAGAUUACAGACAAAAUCUUUUAAUAAAAUAUUUUCAAAUUAUCUAUGUGAGAGGUCUAUAUACAUAUUAUACAUAUAUAAAGAAUUAAACAAAAAAAAAAUUAACUCAAAAGCAACAAAAAAUCAUUAUAUAUAAAAACAAAAUAACUAAUUUAGUAGUUAUUAUUUUAAGAAUUGCAAUAAUUUUGUUAUUUAUAUUUUAUUACAUAUACAUACUUACAUUUAAUAUGUAAAAUGUAAAAAAAAAAAAAAUAGAAAUAUCACAAAAAAAAAACAUGCAUCGAUCUAGCGCUCAAAUCAUGUAUGUGUAUAUUUAGCUGAAUAUUAGGUUUUAAUUUAAGCGGAUAAUUAUAUAUUAUAUAAUAUAUACACAUAUAAACAACAAAUGUAAUUAUAAUUACAUACAUACGUACAUAAAACCACACCAAAAAAACACAGUCACUAUGGCCGUCUGUCUAAAUGGAGAUCUAACGUCAACUUGACUUAUUAAGUGAUUAAUGUACAUUCUUUAAUUGUUUAAUAAAUCACAUUGACAUCAGAUACACAUUUAGGUGCUUGUCCACAUAUUUAUAUAAUAUAUAUGUAUAUAUAUAUAGAAAUAUGUAUUUAUAACUAUUUAUAUAUUAUUUAUAUUAAUUUAUGAAUAUAUAUCCACAUACACAGAUACACAUAUAUAAUAAAUAUAUGUUUAUAUAUAUAUAUGCAAAUAUUAUGUAAAAUUAAA